AUUGGCCUUUAAUUGGGGUCUAGAAUGAACGGAAACAUAUACGAUUACUGUCUUUUUUUUAUUUAAUUUAACUUACUUAUUAGGUGAAAACUCCUAUAAGCUAACAAGAAGGACGAGAAGACCCUUAGAAUUAUUAAGAUUUAAUGUUACACUAUACAUUAUUUUCUUUUUGUUGGGGCGACAUAUUUUCAUUAAACAUAAUAUAUUUAAAUUUUCACAAGACUAGUUUACUUAGUAAGAUUUAAUUACCUGAGGGAUAACAGCAUUAUAUUAUAUUAAGCUUGUGACCUCGAUGUUGGACUAGGUAAAAUAUCAACCAGUAGUUGUUAUUACUUGUUCUGUUCGAACAUACACACCUACAUGAUCUGAGUUCAGACCG
rnacentral:rRNA from 1 species